rnacentral:rRNA from 1 species
GACGAACGCUGGUGGCGUGCUUAACACAUGCAAGUCGAACGGAAAGGCCCUGCUUUUGUGGGGUGCUCGAGUGGCGAACGGGUGAGUAACACGUGAGUAACCUGCCCUUGACUUUGGGAUAACUUCAGGAAACUGGGGCUAAUACUGGAUAGGAGCUCCUGCUGCAUGGUGGGGGUUGGAAAGUUUCGGCGGUUGGGGAUGGACUCGCGGCUUAUCAGCUUGUUGGUGGGGUAGUGGCUUACCAAGGCUUUGACGGGUAGCCGGCCUGAGAGGGUGACCGGCCACAUUGGGACUGAGAUACGGCCCAGACUCCUACGGGAGGCAGCAGUGGGGAAUAUUGCACAAUGGGCGGAAGCCUGAUGCAGCAACGCCGCGUGCGGGAUGACGGCCUUCGGGUUGUAAACCGCUUUCGCCUGUGACGAAGCGUGAGUGACGGUAAUGGGUAAAGAAGCACCGGCUAACUACGUG